rnacentral:rRNA from 1 species
AGAACGAACGCUGGCGGCAUGCCUAAUACAUGCAAGUCGAACGAACUCUUCGGAGUUAGUGGCGCACGGGUGCGUAACGCGUGGGAAUCUGCCCCUUGGUUCGGAAUAACAGUUGGAAACGACUGCUAAUACCGGAUGAUGACGAAAGUCCAAAGAUUUAUCGCCAAGGGAUGAGCCCGCGUAGGAUUAGCUAGUUGGUGAGGUAAAGGCUCACCAAGGCAACGAUCCUUAGCUGGUCUGAGAGGAUGAUCAGCCACACUGGGACUGAGACACGGCCCAGACUCCUACGGGAGGCAGCAGUAGGGAAUAUUGGACAAUGGGCGAAAGCCUGAUCCAGCAAUGCCGCGUGAGUGAUGAAGGCCUUAGGUGUAAAGCUCUUUUACCCGAGAUGAUAAUGACAGUAUCGGAGAAUAAGCCCGGCUAACUCCGUGCCAGCAGCCAC